rnacentral:rRNA from 1 species
AUUGAACGCUGGCGGCAGGCCUAACACAUGCAAGUCGAGCGCGCGGCGGACGGGUGAGUAAUGUAUGGGGACUGCCCGCUAGAGGGGGGUAACUCCUGGAGACGCUAGCUAAUACCGCAUACUAUCGGAUAACCCAUAUGGGAUUAGCUAGUAGGUGGGGUAUUGGCUCACCUAGGCGACGCGCCCUAGCUGGUCUGAGAGGAUGUUCAGCCAAACGGGGACUGAGAAACGGCCCAGACGCCUACGGAGGCAGCAGUGGGGAAUAUUGCACAAUGGGCGCAAGCCUGAUGCAGCCAUGCCGCGUGUAUGAAGAAGGCCUUAGGGUUGUAAAGUACUUUCAGUCGGGAGGCGUUACCGACAGAAGAAGCACCGGCUAACUCCGUGCCAGCAGCCGCGGUAAUAC